rnacentral:rRNA from 1 species
GAGACAGCAGUCGCCGCGGGAAUACGAAGGGUGCAAGCGUUACUCGGAAUUACUGGGCGUAAAGCGUGCGUAGGUGGUGGUUUAAGUCCGUUGUGAAAGCCCUGGGCUCAACCUGGGAAUUGCAGUGGAUACUGGGUCACUAGAGUGUGGUAGAGGAUAGUGGAAUUUCCGGUGUAGCAGUGAAAUGCGUAGAGAUCGGAAGGAACAUCUGUGGCGAAGGCGACUAUCUGGGCCAACACUGACACUGAGGCACGAAAGCGUGGGGAGCAAACAGGAUUAGAUACCCCUGUAGUCCCUGUCUCUUAUAC